rnacentral:lncRNA from 1 species
CUUCCUACCGCUUGGCUGACUUGGGGUAAUUUAACUCCUUCUCUGCUAUAACACUUCUAUCUCAGUGUAUUGGCUUUAUCUGUGUAAUGGACAAGAAGAACUCUUUUGACUGUAACACUGGAUUGUCUGAACAAGGAUUCUAAUAAGAAGGUGAGCUCUGAUAUAGUGCUUUAGUGCACGGACUCAGAAAGUGGAUGAGCUAAGACAUUCAUGAAGCUGUGUAAGAGAGAAAGGCUCAUCACCUUUGCAGAUGACACAAGCCUUUUAUGCGGGAAUCAAAGAAGAACAUGAGAGGCCAGAACACCGGAUUGAAACCAGCAAUUUGACCUUUAAAAGGUAUAAAGUACUGCUUUUAGGUUUAAAUAGUUAACUGCACAAGCCAGAGACACACAGCUUGGUAGCACACUUCUAGCAAAAAAUCC